AUGGCCAGGGACGAACCCUUCGCCGCCGCCGUGGACGUUGCCGACGGCGACUCAACCUCCUCCAGCCCAACCCUCACGCGCCUACGGGAAGCACUCGCCGCCCUCUCCGAGGCGUUCGAGUCCGGCGACGCCGCCUCCUCCGACGCAGCAGCCGCCGCCGUCGCCGAGAUCCUCAGCGCGUCCGAUGCCGACGCGUCCGCCGCGCUCGCCGAGCAGAUGCUCCGCGAGGUCCACGCGUUCCUCUCGUCCCCGUCCUCGAAUCAGAUGGCCAUGGACGCGCUGUCUCUGGAGCUUCCCAAGCCUGUGGCGAAGCUGGGUGCUCGGAUGGGGAAUUGCCGGGACAUUGCCAGGACUAUCAUUGAGUUCUUUGCGUCGAAUUGCAGCCCAAGGGACAUGCUCUGCAUCCUCUGCGAGGCAUUAGAUACACCAGUGGCAUUAAAUGGAUCAGCAUAUCUUGUUAUUCUACUAGAUGGGCUUGCCAGCACGCUUAUUUUGAUUCAGAGGAGACAUAUUGAGCAAGUAAAGGUCGUACUUCCUGCCAUCCUUCGAGUUAUGCACGCUAAUUUAUCAGAAUGUGAUGAGGAACAUGGAAUGUCUGCUGUUGAUCUGUUCAGUGCAGCCCUCAGAAUAGGCAAUGCUAUACAAGAAAUGUGCAAAACAAUGGUCAACCACAGGAAGGAAGAGCUAUGUUCUAUACUUGGUCUAUACGCCCUUCAAAACAUAGCUCUUGUAUCAUCAGAAAGCAAACAUCAGAAUAUUCAGUCUACUUGUGGUUCAGUUGUUCUUCAAUAUUCUAAACUUCUUAUGUUUUGCGGGUUCACCUAUUUGGGUCUUUUAACUGGUAAUGAUGUGACCUCAGCCACCACUAAGCUUUCUAAAGAAGAGGACGACAAUUUUCUCGACUGCUUUUCUUUUGCUAUGGACGGUGCAAGUCUUGUAGUUGUGUGGACCUCUAUGCAUGAUGAUAUGUCAAAAUAUGCUGGAGCAGAGUUUGAAUCAGCACUGAAAGAAGUUCAAGACAAUUGUAUUAGGAAAUGGGAAGCAAUCAACAUGUUUAGAUAUGUCUUGUCUUCAGUUAAUUACUCAUGGGCAAUCAAAUCUCACAGUCUGGACUUAUUGUUGACUUUAGUUGAUGAUAAGUGUAGUGAGGAAACCAACGAUCAUGUAGAUUUCCCAUGUUCCACUCAAAUUUUUGCCAUACUCAAGGCCAUUGAAAGAGUCAUGAUAGCUGCCCCAGAUACGUUGAUGCGGAAGAAAGCCUUUUCUGCCCUGAAAAGGGUUAUUUCAGUGGUGCCAUCCACUCAGAGAUUUGAUAUCUUACAGGCCCUCAUCGAGAAUAGUAUGUUCCCCUCCUUGACUGCAAUUCUUUUAGAUCUGGUGAAGAAUGAAGUUUUGAGAGAGAGCCGUCGAGCUGAUCAGGUUAAUGGAUCUGAUCGAUCUCAAGAUUCUGGGGAAUCACCACCCUGGGCUUCUCAGGUGCUUGAGUUAGUGGAGCUGAUCUUGAGGCCUCCAGAAGGUGGUCCUCCUUGUCUUCGUGAUCACAGUGAAGAGCAGGUGUUAUCUGCUCUGAACUUGCUCAGAUUGAUUCUGAUAAUAGAUUCAAGAGGAUCCAGAUCAGCAAAAAUGUUGCGGGACGAAAAAAUACGAGCCGUGUACUCAGAGUGGCUGCUCCCACUAAGAUCAGUUGUUACAGGGAUUCAAUCGGAACUCGAGAAAGACGGCGGUGACGACGAAAAUCAGAUGGCGUGCUUGUUAAAUCCUGUUCAACUCGUACUUCACCGCUGCAUUGAGUUGGUGGAGGAAAAGAUGAAAGGUUUGUAA
rnacentral:rRNA from 1 species